rnacentral:sRNA from 1 species
AAAUUUAGAUGUUUUACCUAAGACAGUAGGAGUCUAAGACUUAAAACACAAUCCUACCGAGGCAAACAAAAAUGACUUGUAUAUUAUUUAUAAAUAUAUGAGCACUUUUUGCCCUGGGUAAAAGGUGCUUUUUUUAUUG